UAGAGUUUGAUCAUGGCUCAGAUUGAACGCUGGCGGCAGGCCUAACACAUGCAAGUCGAGCGGUAACAUGUCUAGCUUGCUAGAUGAUGACGAGCGGCGGACGGGUGAGUAAUGCUUGGGGAUCUGCCUUAGAGUGGAGGAUAACCAUUGGAAACGAUGGCUAAUACUGCAUAGUAUCUGCGGAUUAAAGGGGGCUUCGGCUCUUGCUUUAAGAUGAACCCAAGUGGGAUUAGCUAGUUGGUGAGGUAAUGGCUCACCAAGGCGACGAUCCCUAGCUGGUCUGAGAGGAUGAUCAGCCACACUGGAACUGAGACACGGUCCAGACUCCUACGGGAGGCAGCAGUGGGGAAUAUUGCACAAUGGGCGAAAGCCUGAUGCAGCCAUGCCGCGUGUGUGAAGAAGGCCCUAGGGUUGUAAAGCACUUUCAGUCAGGAGGAAAGGUUAGUAGUUAAUACCUGCUUGCUGUGACGUUACUGACAGAAGAAGCACCGGCUAACUUCGUGCCAGCAGCCGCGGUAAUACGAGGGGUGCAAGCGUUAAUCGGAAUUACUGGGCGUAAAGCGAGCGUAGGCGGCUGAAUAAGCUGGAUGUGAAAAACCGGGGCUCAACCUCGGCCGUGCAUUCAGAACUGUUUAGCUAGAGUCCUGUAGAGGGGGGUAGAAUUUCA
rnacentral:rRNA from 1 species